rnacentral:rRNA from 1 species
AGAGUUUGAUCCUGGCUCAGGACGAACGCUGGCGGCACGCUUAACACAUGCAAGUCGAACGAGAGAAGAGGAGCUUGCUUUUCUGAUCUAGUGGCGGACGGGUGAGUAACACGUGAGCAAUCUGCCUUUCAGAGGGGGAUACCGAUUGGAAACGAUCGUUAAUACCGCAUAACAUAAUUGAACCGCAUGAUUUGAUUAUCAAAGAUUUAUCGCUGAAAGAUGAGCUCGCGUCUGAUUAGCUAGUUGGUAAGGUAACGGCUUACCAAGGCGACGAUCAGUAGCCGGACUGAGAGGUUGAUCGGCCACAUUGGGACUGAGACACGGCCCAGACUCCUACGGGAGGCAGCAGUGGGGAAUAUUGCACAAUGGAGGAAACUCUGAUGCAGCGAUGCCGCGUGAGGGAAGAAGGUUUUAGGAUUGUAAACCUCUGUCUUCAGGGACGAAAAAAGACGGUACCUGAGGAGGAAGCUCCGGCUAACUACGUGCCAGCAGCCGCGGUAAUACGUAGGGAGCGAGCGUUGUCCGGAAUUACUGGGUGUAAAGGGAGCGUAGGCGGGAUCGCAAGUCAGAUGUGAAAACUAUGGGCUUAACCCAUAAACUGCAUUUGAAACUGUGGUUCUUGAGUGAAGUAGGGGUAAGCGGAAUUCCUAGUGUAGCGGUGAAAUGCGUAGAUAUUAGGAGGAACAUCAGUGGCGAAGGCGGCUUACUGGGCUUUAACUGACGCUGAGGCUCGAAAGCGUGGGGAGCAAACAGGAUUAGAUACCCUGGUAGUCCACGCCGUAAACGAUGAUUACUAGGUGUGGGGGGACUGACCCCUUCCGUGCCGCAGCAAACGCAAUAAGUAAUCCACCUGGGGAGUACGACCGCAAGGUUGAAACUCAAAGGAAUUGACGGGGGCCCGCACAAGCAGUGGAGUAUGUGGAUUAAUUCGAAGCAACGCGAAGAACCUUACCAGGUCUUGACAUCGUAUGCAUAGCUCAGAGAUGAGUGAAAUCUCUUCGGAGACAUAUAGACAGGUGGUGCAUGGUUGUCGUCAGCUCGUGUCGUGAGAUGUUGGGUUAAGUCCCGCAACGAGCGCAACCCUUACUGUUAGUUGCUACGCAAGAGCACUCUAGCAGGACUGCCGUUGACAAAACGGAGGAAGGUGGGGAUGACGUCAAAUCAUCAUGCCCCUUAUGACCUGGGCCUCACACGUACUACAAUGGCUGUCAACAGAGGGAAGCAAAGCCGCGAGGUGGAGCGAACCCCUAAAAGCAGUCUUAGUUCGGAUUGUAGGCUGCAACCCGCCUACAUGAAGUCGGAAUUGCUAGUAAUCGCAGAUCAGCAUGCUGCGGUGAAUACGUUCCCGGGCCUUGUACACACCGCCCGUCACGCCAUGGGAGUCGGUAACACCCGAAGCCUGUAGUCUAACCGCAAGGAGGACGCAGUCGAAGGUGGGAUUGAUGACUGGGGUGAAGUCGUAACAAGGUA